GACGAACGCUGGCGGCGUGCUUAACACAUGCAAGUCGAACGGAAAGGCCCUGCUUUUGUGGGGUGCUCGAGUGGCGAACGGGUGAGUAACACGUGAGUAACCUGCCCUUGACUUUGGGAUAACUUCAGGAAACUGGGGCUAAUACCGGAUAGGAGCUCCUGCUGCAUGGUGGGGGUUGGAAAGUUUCGGCGGUUGGGGAUGGACUCGCGGCUUAUCAGCUUGUUGGUGGGGGAGUGGCUUACCAAGGCUUUGACGGGUAGCCGGCCUGGGAGGGUGGCCGGCCACAUUGGGACUGAGGUAGGGACCAGACGCCUACGGGAGGCAGCGGGGGGGAAUAUUGCACAAUGGGCGGAAGCCUGAUGCAGCAACGCCGCGUGCGGGAUGACGGCCUUCGGGUUGUAAACCGCUUUCGCCUGUGACGAAGCGUGAGUGACGGUAAUGGGUAAAGAAGCACCGGCUAACUACGUG
rnacentral:rRNA from 1 species